CGUGCGGAGAGACCGCGGCGGGGCAGCAGCGGCUCCGGGCGGCUCCAAAACACAACCCAACCAACAUUUAAACGUCUCGGACGACUCACCGCGGGGAACCGGGUCCUUUUUAGCAGCUCCUCGGUGCGGUUCGGCGUCUCCGGUCCGUCCGCUUCAGUCUACAAUGAAUGAGUGUUUCUAAACUGCACCUGAACGCCUCAUGGAGGACAUGGAGCAGGACAGGUUGGACUCCAUGUGACGGACCGGAACCGACCCGAAGGAGGCGAGGCUCAGUCCGCUUCAUUCCGCUUCAACACGGAUUCACCAAGAAUCUGGAGCAGAAAAGAAGCAGAUCGUUGUUUUAAUCUGAACAUGAAUGAAGCCGAGGCAGAAAAAUAUGAAUGAAAGAAAGAACAGUGUUCUGAUUUUUACAGAAAAACUAUUUACAAUGUUUUAUUUGUAGAUGUGAACUGUUUAUAUCCCUAAAACAUUUUCCAUCUGCAGCACCAGAGACACAUCUGUCCACAAACCCAGAGAGAGAGAGAGAACAGGAAAAACAUGGAAAAUGUUUCAUUAAGUGAAAUAAUUUGCCAAUGAAACUGGGACAUUUAUUAAUCAAUAUUAAGGAUUUUUGUACUGAAAAAAAGUUCAUAUUUCUUGUUGAAAAGCUGCAUGUAAGUUGGUUUAGUCUUAUUUAUAGUAAAAUAUCUGCAGUAGAUCUUUGCAUCUCUUUGAGAUGCUCGUUCAUGUUUUUAUCACUUUUCAGAAUCCAGUUUUAAAUUCUCAGCUUUUAACAAACCUUUUAGUUUCUGUUAUUGUUCUUAUUUUUAUUUCUUUGGCUAAUUUUAAAGUGUUUUCCAAAUAAAGAUGAAAUGAAACCAAAUCACCAUCUGAGAAGUUUAGAUUAACUUCAUCUAUUCCCUCAGUUUCUCUACAGGUCUUCUGACUUUAACUAGGACAUUUUAAGGUUUUCUUUCAGCAAAGUUUAAAAUCUCAACAAAUGCAUUAAAAUUUGUGUUUGUAUAAUGAAAACAUGCUAAACAAAUAGUGUAUAAAUGCUUUUUUCUGUG